UAUCUAUCAAAUGGUAGGUAAAAAUAAACAUUUAAAAAUGACUUAAAUGUUACAAAAUACUGUAUUUUAUUAUUUAGUCUAUUGUUAUUUGGAUCAACAGUAUUUCAACUGCAGGGAUCACUGUUUCAAAAGGUGGAAGACAGUAGGGAUCACUGUUUCAAAAGGUGGAAGACAGUAGGGAUCACUGUUUCAAAAGGUGGAAGACAGUAGGGAUCACUGUUUCAAAAGGUGGAAGACAGUAGGGAUCACUGUUUCAAAAGGUGGAAGACAGUAGGGAUCACUGUUUCAAAAGGUGGAAGACAGCAGGGAUCACUGUUUCAAAAGGUGGAAGACAGUAGGGAUCACUGUUUCAAAAGGUGGAAGACAGUAGGGAUCACUGUUUCAAAAGGUGGAAGACAGUAGGGAUCACUGUUUCAAAAGGUGGAAGACAGUAGGGAUCACUGUUUCAAAAGGUGGAAGACAGUAGGGAUCACUGUUUCAAAAGGUGGAAGACAGUAGGGAUCACUGUUUCAAAAGGUGGAAGACAGUAGGGAUCACUGUUUCAAAAGGUGGAAGACAGUAGGGAUCACUGUUUCAAAAGGUGGAAGACAGUAGGGAUCACUGUUUCAAAAGGUGGAAGACAGUAGGGAUCACUGUUUCAAAAGGUGGAAGACAGUAGGGAUCACUGUUUCAAAAGGUGGAAGACAGUAGGGAUCACUGUUUCAAAAGGUGGAAGACAGUAGGGAUCACUGUUUCAAAAGGUGGAAGACAGUAGGGAUCACUGUUUCAAAAGGUAAGGUGGAAGACAGUAGGGAUCACUGUUUCAAAAGGUGGAAGACAGUCAGUGAUUCAACAAAUAAAUGAGAUUGAACGUUGUUAGUUUUAAAGCUGGGGGGGGUUCAUUAAAGGUGCACUACACUGUUAUCACUACUAACUGUUGGUCUCCACCAAUAGCAGGUGUCAGCCGAUGCCUAUUGAACAUCUGGACAACCUUUUGACUGAUACACCUUUAAUUAUCACCAGACAGAAUUAAAACAAGGCAGAAAUUAAACAAGGCAGAAAUAAAACAAGACAAAAAGAAAAUGAAAGAGGGUGAGGUCUUGCAACACUUUUUUCCGCUGCCACCAGAGCCGCAUUGCAAGGUUUAGGGGGAGAGAGAGAGUAAGAGCAAGAGCAAGAGAGAGAGAGAGAGAGCAGAGAGAGAGAGAGAGAGAGACAGCGAGAGAGAAGAUCAGAGAGAGAGAGAGAUCAGAGAGAGAGAGACAGAAAGAGAGAGAGAGAGAGACAGAGCAAGAG